rnacentral:misc_RNA from 1 species
GGUGUUACUGCAAAAGCAAGGAACUGUUGCUUUAACGCCGCCGUUACCGGUGGUGGAGGGGGGAUUUUUAACUUUUCGCCACACCCAGAUCAAGUUCUUGAAAAUGUGCUGGAAAAUGUUCUUUGCUUCUUAACUGAUCGCCGUGACCGUAACGCUGCAUCCCUUGUAAGCAAAUCUUGGUAUCGGGCUGAGGCUUUAACCAGAUCCGAAGUGUUUAUUGGCAACUGUUAUGCUGUUUCGCCGACCCGGGUUACGACCCGUUUCAAGAGGGUGACCUCUGUGGCCAUUAAAGGGAAACCUAGGUUUGCUGAUUUCAGUUUGCUUCCUCCAGAUUGGGGUGCUCACUUUACUCCUUGGGCUUCGGUUUUGGGUGAUUCUUAUCGUGGCCUUGAGAAAUUGUAUCUCAAACGUAUGUCCAUAUCUGAUGAUGAUCUAGGUUUAUUGGCGCGUUGUUUCCCCAAUUUCAAAGAGCUUGUUCUUGUAUGCUGUGAAGGUUUUGGGACUAGUGGACUUGCUAUUGUAGCC